rnacentral:rRNA from 1 species
GCGCAUCGUGCUAGGGAUAGACUGUUGCAAUUUUCAGUCUUGAACGAGGAAUUCCUAGUAAAUACAAGUCAUCAGCUUGUGUUGAUUACGUCCCUGCCCUUUGUACACACCGCCCGUCGCACCUACCGAUUGAAUGCUUCGGUGAAAAGUAUACGGCUGCAAGGACGCUUGCUUCAUUGCGAGCGGACAUACUGCGGAAGGUACUUUGAACCUCGCCAUUUAGAGGAAGGUGAAGUCGUAACAAGGUUUCCGUAGGUGAACCUGCGGAAGGAUCAUUA